rnacentral:rRNA from 1 species
GAUGAACGCUGGCGGCGUGCCUAAUACAUGCAAGUCGAGCGAACAGACGAGGAGCUUGCUCCUUUGACGUUAGCGGCGGACGGGUGAGUAACACGUGGAUAACCUACCUAUAAGACUGGGAUAACUUCGGGAAACCGGAGCUAAUACCGGAUAACAUGUUGAACCGCAUGGUUCAACAGUGAAAGACGGUCUUGCUGUCACUUAUAGAUGGAUCCGCGCCGCAUUAGCUAGUUGGUAAGGUAACGGCUUACCAAGGCAACGAUGCGUAGCCGACCUGAGAGGGUGAUCGGCCACACUGGAACUGAGACACGGUCCAGACUCCUACGGGAGGCAGCAGUAGGGAAUCUUCCGCAAUGGGCGAAAGCCUGACGGAGCAACGCCGCGUGAGUGAAGAAGGUCUUCGGAUCGUAAAACUCUGUUAUUAGGGAAGAACAAAUGUGUAAGUAACUAUGCACGUCUUGACGGUACCUAAUCAGAAAGCUACGGCUAACUACGUG